rnacentral:rRNA from 1 species
UUUUCCUACGGGGCGCAGCAGUGGGGAAUAUUGCGCAAUGGGGGAAACCCUGACGCAGCAACGCCGCGUGCGGGAUGAAGGCCUUCGGGUUGUAAACCGCUUUCAGCAGGGAAGAUCCAAGACGGUACCUGCAGAAGAAGCCCCGGCUAACUACGUGCCAGCAGCCGCGGUAAUACGUAGGGGGCGAGCGUUAUCCGGAUUCAUUGGGCGUAAAGCGCGCGCAGGCGGGCUGCUAAGCGGGUCCUCUAA